UACGUAGGUGGCAAGCGUUGUCCGGAAUUACUGGGUGUACAGGGAGCGCAGGCGGGAAGCCAAGUCAGCUGUGAAAACUACGGGCUUAACUUGUAGACUGCAGUUGAAACUGGUUUUCUUGAGUGAAGUAGAGGUUGGCGGAAUUCCGAGUGUAGCGGUGAAAUGCGUAGAUAUUCGGAGGAACACCGGUGGCGAAGGCGGCCAACUGGGCUUUAACUGACGCUGAGGCUCGAAAGUGUGGGGAGCAAACAGG
rnacentral:rRNA from 1 species